ACCUGGGGUGGCAACGAGAGGGUUAACCACCCGGGAAGGUCCCGUUUGCGCCCGGGCCGGGCAAAAACCUGGGGGAGGUGCUGGAGGUGAAAACCGCCUGCGUUCUGCGCCCCGCGUGCGGUGGAACCAGCGACCUCCGGGCUGGGGGAGCUAAGCGAUGUUCGGGAGCCGCCGGUGGCGCAGACACUGGGUGAAUCCCGAAGGGGAGCGCAUCUUGCAGAAGAGAGACGCCCCAGCAAGACUCUUUCGGGGAAUCCUCCAGCUCCUCGCCUCCAUGGGCCAGACGGCCCUGGCAGGGGGCGGCAGUAGCACCCCCACCCCACAGGCCCUGUACCCUGACCACUCCCGUCCCGAAGGUUUGGAGGAACUGCUUUCUGCUCCCUUUCCUGACCUGGAGACUCAACAGCGCCACGGCUGGAAUCCCAGGGACUGCUCAGAGAACAUCGAAGUCAAGGAAAGGGGAUUGUGCUUUGAACGGCGGCCCGUAGCCCAGAGCACUGAUGGGGCCCGGGGUAAGAGGGGCUACUCCAGGGGCCUGCACGCCUGGGAAAUCAGCUGGCCCCCGGAGCAGCGGGGCACCCACGCCGUGGUGGGUGUGGCCACGGCCCUCGCCCCACUGCAGGCAGACCACUACGCGGCGCUGCUGGGCAGCAACAGCGAGUCUUGGGGCUGGGACAUUGGGCGUGGGAAGCUAUACCAUCAGAGCAAGGGGAUAGGGGCCCCCCGAUAUCCAGCCGGACCUCAGGGUGAGCAGCUGGAGGUGCCGGAGAGGCUGCUGGUGGUUCUGGACAUGGAGGAGGGAACUCUGGGCUACGCUCUUGGGGACACCUACCUGGGGCCCGCGUUCCGCGGACUGAAGGGCAGGACCCUCUAUCCGGCAGUAAGCGCUGUCUGGGGCCAGUGCCAGGUCCGCAUCAGCUACCUGGGCGAAAGGAGAGGUGAGGCCUGGGUAGAUGUGGGAGAGUGUUCUUUCACUGGUGGCUGUAUUUUGGCUUGGAAACCCAACACUUUACAAGAGUGGAGGGAACAAGCCUUCACCUGACCUGCCUCCCUAACCCCUCAUUCAGUGCCAGGAAUGGCUAAGGGUCUUCACAGCUGUUACCUAAUUUAAUCCUCCCAGUAGCGGUAGAGGUAAAGGUGACGCUUGGGAACUUGCGGUAAGUGGUGAGCCCCCAGGUUGGAGGGAAGCACUCCAGGGAUUAGGGCCUUACAGGAGCCAUCAGCUCCUGGAGCAGAGGUGCGCAGGGCUGAAAGGCUCCUGGGCUAGGCGUGCGAGUUUGAAAAGCAGCGCUAGGCACCCAGGGUGUGACACAUACAUACCUACUUCUUCAGUCAAACCCCAGGAGGGAGCCGUCGGGGACUGCCCCCCACCCCCACCCCUCCACUGGAAGGAGAGCUGUAGAGGCAGGGUUUGACUGAAGGAGCUGCGAUCAAACCCUGGGGGGCUGCAGGGGAGGGACCUCCUUGGGGAACCAGUGGGGCCAGGGCUUGGAAUCUAUUGAACUGUUCUCUACAGUUGUAGUCUUAGCAGAGGCUGGAUACCUCUCCUCCUGUCACCCAUGGUGAGCUGUCGUGGAGUGCCAGCCUCCUUUCACAUCAGCCCCAUUCCCAAGGCCUUUCUGGAAUCCAAGCCUGGGCCAGCUCCACCCGUCAUAGCCACCUUGCCCUGUUGCUUACAGGCCUUAGCUAGAGCUUCACCGUCACCACUGACUGGAAGUGUGUGACACCUCCCACCCUAAGAGCAGAGACAGAGCUUCAGGGUGGCUAAGAUGUCUCUCAACCAAGUGGAGCCGCACUCCCUCCUACACCUGAGCCGCCUGUCCGUGCACCGAGCACUGGGGGCUGCCCGUCUGGGCCAUGUAUCGGCUC